ensembl:lncRNA
AGGGGGGGUUGAGCUGCGGCGGUCCCGGUGCUCCCGCAGUGCCCCUCCCGAGCUGCCAGGCUGGAUUUUAUGGGAAUAUCGAUAGAAUUAAAGUUCCUUGUAAUUCCGUGAUAAAUGGGGUGUCUCUAGUAAGUAAGAUGAAGUGCGGUGCCGUGAAGUUGUUUAUCUGGAAAGUAAUUCUCAGAAACCUGACUUCUGACACUUGGUCAUAUAUUAAACCGGCGUCUUGAACGUUGUACUUCAGAUGCUCCUUUUCCCCCUUCCCCUCGCAGUUUGCUAUUUAUAAGACUUCGUAGGUGCGGGUGAGUUGCUGGGUAAUUUUUCACCAACUGUGAAAAGCAUCGUUUGCAACAGCCGAAGAAUUCUCUGCUUAGGAAACAGUACGGGGAGAGUGGGCUCACGAAUAGAUAACAUCUCCCGACCGUGCCAUUAUCGGCACAAACCCGUGCGGCUGCGCUGCUCCCGGCAGCCAAAAGGCAGGGAGGGCACGCUGCGAGGCGAGCAGGCUAACGACACCUAGAUGGGAUCGCAGAGGCGAUUCUGCAGACCUAAAGCAUGCUCCGACGGCACGAACAACAUGAGCGUGGUUCUGCACAGCCCCAAAGACACCCGGACAUCUGCCGGGUUUAUCUUAGAGACUGCAAUUAGUGACAAACCGAGUGCAACUCGGCUUGGCUUUCCUAUUCCUGCACACCAUCGGAACCAGCAAAAGUUCCCAGCUCACAGCAUAACCCCCCCCCCCCGCCCUCCAGGACGGCCCCAUUCCCCAGACUUGUUUUUCCCAUUGCAAGAUGAAUGUGGCACUGUAUGUCACUUAACGCGCUCACCUAUGAGAGGCACAAAAAGUGAAGGUUAUUGCUUUUUGGAACGCACACUCGCAGUGUUCCACUUGCACGUUUGAUGGAUGUCUGUGGAAACACAGCUCCGGCCCCAUCAAACUGUUUGGAUUCAGAGUGCUCCGCUUGCAAACCAGUAGAUUUCUGAGUAAACUUGAGACGAAGAGCACAAAUUUGGGUGAGCUAAGGGGGAGCCUCUUCCUUAGCACUGAUGUGGGUGAGUGCAUGCGGAGCUCUGACCUCCAGGGCAGCACUGGAGUUACUGUACAGCAUUGUUCUGGUGUGAUGAUUGCAGAGCUGCCGCCCCAAAACGGCACGGCGUAGCAGAGAGAAAGGAUUAUUAGCAAUUUUUUGGAUCACCUUCAGGAGCAGCAACGCUCUCCUCCCUCCCCUCCGCCAUUCUCACUGUAGUGCUAUUUUCCUUUAUUAUUUGGCUAUUCACGACGGCUGUCUAAACAUUUACAGUCCCCUAUUAACAGCGUUUCUCCCCAAACAAUCGCACGCUUUCAUUUCAAUUAGAGCCAUUCAGGCUCGGGUUUUGCCACCAGGCCACGUCCCAGCCCCGCUCCCUUUCCCAGCACGGACCCAGGCAGCGCACAGCCCACAUCCCCACACCUCCUGCUCACAUCCCCACACCUCCUGCCCUGCUCCAGGUUAGGAGCUCAGACCACGACGCGUUCUGCCCUGGGUGCGGAUCAAGAACAACACAUUAAGAACAGUUACCGCUCCCUUUGUUUGCCCGGUGUCUGAUUUUUAUGGUGCAGAACUAAAGAGUGCCCGCUGAAUUUGACUAUGGAAGCGGGCAAAUUGCUUUCCAAAAGGCUUCUUCGGAGCACAGUGAUAAGGCACAACCCGCUCCUAGGUGCAGCGCCAGAUAAAUCCUUUUAACAGUCCUCAGAUCAGUUAACAGGUUUUGCAUCGGUGUUGCCGAAUCCAUCAUUUCCACUGCUUGCUUAUCGUGUUUCUGAAACACUCAGAAUAUCCCAAAUAAGCCCGUGUGAUCCAGAAGGAACUUCUCUCUCGGGCUGGAGGUUGGUGCCACCAGGUUUGUGCUGCACUCACCCUAUGAUGCAUGUCCCACUUUACUCGUCUCCAUGAAUGGUUCAGCCUGGAUGUGAAAAUCAAUACAGACGUCCCUGAUGCCAAAAACCUAUUUGUCUAAAAGAUAUAAAAAGUGAAAUUGCAAUAAAGAUUUUUAUCGGGCUUUAUGGUGGAAUUCGUCAUUUAUAACUGGGAUGAUGAUGUUGGGUUAUAUAACGUGUUCGCUCUCAAAUUAGCUGAUGUGAGUAAAUAGAGGUAAUCUGGUAAAAUCUGGUGCCCAGGUUGAUCUCUGCAGAAAGCUACAGUUAAAGGAGGAGAAGAAAACAGUCACAUCAAUAUCACACCACUGAGCUGUCCCAGCAAAGCCCUGUGAUACGCACGAGGCGUUGGUAUCUAUUUUAGCUCUGGAAAAUCCUUGCUGCUUCUCUCCCUUCUGCUCUGCACUGAGUUGUUUCGGCAGCAAGGAGCAGUGGCAGCAUGAAAUAAUAUGUGAAUUUUAUGUGCUCUCUCUUCCUCAAAGCUGACUACCAGUGAGUGGCGAGGGGGGCACGAUACGGAGGUGGUGUUUUGAUGUGUGACUGCGAAGGGUGAGACGGCCAUUAUUAAGAGUGAUCGACUUCAGUGACUUUUAAACAAAGCUGUGAUUUAAUGUCUUAAAGCCCGAGAUGGCACAGACUUGUCGUUAGUUGGCGUGGUGGGCUGAGUGCCAUGCACUGGGCUUAUCUCGUGUGAGUAAAGCAUAGAAAUGUGUGGGGUAAGUGAUGGGGUCUUCGGCAGCACAAGGCUCUUGGCUUGCGUGGCCUUAUGGCAGAGGGGGGCUGUGCCAACGGGAGCACAUAAGGAUCUCACGUUACCUCCAACCUUCAAUUAUCGUGCUGAAUCUGGCCUAACCUGCUUAUCUCCUGAGAAUUACUCACUGGGUUUUGGCAGGAGGAGGUGUCAAUGAAAAUGAGACAGUUCUGGAGCCAGCAUCGCUGCCAGCAGCCAGGGCUUAAUUCUGGGCAGAGCUGGGGACAGUGUGUUCCUCUCCCUGCCAUGGCUCCAGCUGCUCCCAUCCCCAGCCCUCUCCACCAGGUGAGCUCUUCCCCAUCCCAUUCCCAUUCCUGUUCCUGGCUCCCAGCUCUAGUCUCCAUGUUGGAAGCCCAGUGGCUGGAGCUGUC